rnacentral:lncRNA from 1 species
CAGACUCUUCCUCAAAAUGCUGUUUAUCUCACCAGCCCUGAUCUCAUAUACUGUACAAUCCUAAUGCUGCCCUGUGCUGAUGCAGUAAGUAACGUCUUGGUGUUUCAUUGUCACCUUCACAGCUGUUAGAGAGCACUGGCUCCUACAGGACCACCUGCCAGCUGUGAUGCUAUUCAUUUUACAUCACCGUCGUAGACGACACCUCUCCUUGCUGGCAGACAAGCCAGGGAGGUGCUGUGAAUGCUGACCUCGGCUCGCCGUGCUGCUCUGCCGUGCCGACCCUCCUUCCUGGCUGUGCUGCGUGGUGCUCAGUUGACCUGAAGGUUUUCCCAAGUGCUCUUUCACCCCUGAGUGCUGCCUUCUUUCCUCUGCAUCAGCUGGCAUCCACACGUGGGCACGGUAUUCUGUCCUGCAGGUGGGAAGCCGUUGUGCUUAGGGACAGGGUGACUUCUCUGUGGUCAGAGAGGAAGCAGCAAAGCAGGGAGCCAAGCUGUUAUCCCCUCCCUCGGCACGGGGAGCUCUCACUGUUGGCUGUGCUCCUGCCAAACUGGUAUCCUUCUG